AGGCAUAAGCCAGCUUGACUGCGAGAGUGACGGCUCGAGCAGGUACGAAAGUAGGUCUUAGAGAUCCGGUGGUUCUGAAUGGAAGGGCCAUCGCUCAACGGAUAAAAGGUACUCCGGGGAUAACAGGCUGAUACCGCACAAGAGUUCAUAUCGACGGCGGUGUUUGGCACCUCGAUGUCGGCUCAUCACAUCCUGGGGCUGAAGUAGGUCCCAUGGGUAUGGCUGUUCGCCAUUUAAAGUGUUACGCGAG
rnacentral:rRNA from 1 species